GUCGCGUGCGUCUGUUUCCGUUAGCAACGCUCCUAAACAAGCCGUCCUGCCUCCGCGUCUGGCGCGGUCUAGUGUUUCUCUGCGACCCCGGGCCUGGUGAGGCUGAGCUUGGCCUCUCCCGCUUUUCCAGACCGCUGACUGCCCCCCGCCUCAAUGGCAGAGUUGGGUCUAAAUGAGCACCAUCAAAAUGAAGUUAUUAAUUAUAUGCGUUUUGCUCGCUCAAAAAGAGGCUUGAGACUCAAAACUGUGGAUUCCUGCUUCCAGGACCUCAAGGAGAGCAGGCUUGUGGAGGAGACCUUCACCGUCGAUGAAGUCUCUGAGGUGCUGAAUGGGUUGCAGUCUGUGGUCCACAGCGAAGUGGAGUCUGAGCUCAUCAACACGGCCUACACCAACGUGCUGCUUCUGCGGCAACUUUUCUCACAGGCCGAGAAGUGGUACCUCAAGCUGCAGACAGAUAUCUCUGAACUUGAAAACAGAGAAUUAUUAGAGCAAGUUGCAGAAUUUGAAAAAGCGGAAUUUAUAUCUUCAAAUAAAAAGUCCAUCAUAGACAGUAUGAAGCCAAAACUUGCUCCACUUCAUGAAGGUGGAGCAGCAGAACUCCUGAACAAGGAAAUUAUAAGACUUCAAGAAGAGAAUGAGAGAUUGAAGUCAAGACUGAAGACCAUUGAAUCACAGGCAACAAAUGCGUUGGAUGAGAAAUCAAAGCUGGAAAGAGCACUGCAGGAUUUACAGCUUGAGCAGGGGAAUCAGAAGGAUUUUAUAAAGGCCCAAGACUUGAGUGACUUGGGAAACACAGUUGCUGCUUUAAAGAGUGAGUUUCAGAAGACACUUAAUGACCAGACAGAAAACCAGAAAUCCCUGGAGGAGAAUCUAGCGACGGCCAAGCAUGACCUACUCAGGGUGCAGGAGCAGCUGAGCAUGGCUGAAAAGGAAUUAGAGAAGAAAUUCCAACAAACAGCGGCUUAUCGAAACAUGAAGGAGAUUCUUACCAAGAAGAAUGACCAAAUCAAAGACCUGAGGAAAAGACUGGCAAAAUAUGAACCUGAAGAUUAAAAACUGAUGAUUUCAUCUGGAAGCUGCCACAAUAUGAAAGUACAAACCCUUUCUCACCUCAGGUUUUAUAUUAAAAUACUGAAGGAGCAAAUGAUAAAGGGUAAGAUAACGUCCCCCUGAAAGGACACAGAAGGCAGUCUCUAAAAGAUGGCUGAGUGAGGGGAGUGAGGGAGGAAGCCCGUCCUGAGCAGCCCCGCCUGCGUGGUCACUCCUCGCCCGGCCCUCACUGUGCGGGCACGCCUUGGGGUCUGGGUCCUUUUAGAGCUUCCACUGAGUAUUCCAGUCACACACCACACUUCUCUAGGCCAGAAUUCACUCUCCAAAAACUAUGCCAUUAUUCAAUGGGCCAGGAUGCUCUAUUAAAUUCAGAAACAGACUCUUUUUUAAAUGGCUUGGUAUCUUUUAAAAACCAUGUGUUUUCUUCUUACCUUAGUUUGAUGCAUAGGGAAGAAAGUUAUGUUGAAAAACCUAUGUUGCUAGGUAGAAUUUCAGCUUAGUAUUUUUUUCUUUUUUGAUAGCACCUUUGAAAUAUUCUGUAUAUCCAGCUCAAUAAUAAAUCAAAAGUCUUUAUGAUACCAUAAAACCUAACUAUGCCCUGCAUUAAGAUAGAUAAAUGUGACAUUCCUUGGCAUAAAUUAACAGGAUGAUUCUUCACCAUAUAAAUACUUUUUGUGCCUGCUUGUGUCAGUGUGUGAGAGUGUAACUCAUGUGCUUAGCAAAAUGCAGUACUGAAGUUUUUUUUUUUUUUAACAUUUUCCUAGUCUUAUCUCAUUUAACUAAGACAGUCUUUUUAGUUGCUGUAUUUUGCAUUUUUAAGAAGGUCGCCUCAAGCCCUGAUUGAACUUUCAGUGUGCUAAGCUCUACGGACUGCACAGUAGCUGUCACAAUGCAACUUUAGUUUAGCUUAAAUACUCAAGGCUCGUGUUAAAUUAUGACUCAGACCUUUAUGGACAAAAAUAAA